rnacentral:misc_RNA from 1 species
GUUCCUGCCGAAUUUUUUUUUGUUGUUACUCCGUCGCUCCUUGUUGGUACCGUCCGACGCAGUUUGGAUGAUGCACGGUACGGCACAGAAGUACAUUUGAAGCUCUUGUUUUUCGGUCUUGUGAUCGUCCCUCAUCAUCGCGGUCACCCUCUCAAUAUAGUUGGGCACCACCGACCUGCCCCUCAUCAGCUGCAUCUCUGGUUCCUCUUGCCUGCGUGCUUUUUAGCUCGUAGCAGCCAGUUCUGGCUUUGCUGUCGCCAUCACGCGCUAACGCCGUGUGCCCCGCGCCCUUCUCUUUUCUUCCUUCGUGUGUUUUCACUUCCGCUUUAGAGAUUUUUGUGCUUGUUUCUUUUGCAUCGUUCUCUCUUCGCACCCUCUCCCUCUUCCCUCCUGUCUGAGUGGUUCUCUCCCACGUUUGCCACGUGCACGCGUCUACUGCUGCUGCGUAUACAACAGUGUCGUUGUGUACCGCCUGUUUUCUCAGUUCCCUGUGCGUGUGUGCGAGGAAAUUCUCUCUCUACGCCGUCGGUGCGAUUUUUUUGUGCUUGUUCGUGUCUAUCUGUCUGUGUGCCGUACUUUACCUUCCUUUCGGCACACGCAGUCUCCCUUCACCAUCUCUUGCCUUUGCACUCCCAUCAGAGCAGCCGGAGAAGCAUAGACAGGAGGGAAGCAAGUCUCCCUAUUCGUCGGCGACAGAGGCUGGAGAAGGACGGGGCGCAACUACACAUUUAAGCGCUCGCACACACACACACACACACACACUCCGGGUCAGAGGUGCUUGCAGACGUAUCGGAGGAGGGAGGCGAAAAGAGUGGUAAUCCACGUACACAGCGAGGGGUAGCUGCAUACUCGUUUGGGGAUUUCCGAGCUCGGAUCCCUUCUUGAGGUGCUGUUCUCCUUCGACAUUGCCGUGCGCACUUUUCUACACGACCAGUAGAAGAGGCGUUGUGCUUCGGUCGUUCUCGCUGAGCGCACUACACCUGGUGGUUGAAGUCGCCACACUUAUGCACACAGCUGCGUUCAUAUCCCGACACAAAGACGACAGUGAGAACGACAACGCCAUUCUAUCGGCUACAGCGCACAGCUGCGUCUGCGACGCGCGAGUGCCAUGAGUGCCAAGAACACCUUCGGCACACAGGCAGCCAAAGCGCUUUGUGCCAACCUUUAUACAAACUGGCUCUCCGAGGACGAAAAUGUGGAACGCAUUCGCGAUCUGCUGAAUCGCGUGCUGACGGUGUCGGUCACAGACCACAACUCGGAGAUGGGCGCCAAGAAUGCCGCCUCCAUGACCACCGUAGCUGCGGCAGCCGCGGGGGACAAGAAGGGAAAGGCCGCCGGCGCGGACACGCUCGGCAACGGCGCGCGGCACAGUGAUCCAGUCGCGGGGCUAACCACGAGCUCCGCCGCGAUGCACGGGAACGUUGACCGUGCCCAGUCGCCGCAGCCGUCUCCCCCGCAGAAGUCGAAUAAAUCCGCCGCCGCCUUGACGGCUGAUGAUCGAACGCCGAGCCCCAUCCAACCAUCGACAUCCCCCAGCCUCAUCGCGCGCUUCCCCGGCGGCGUAGACGAGCUUGAUUACCCUCACCGCGCUGGCUCGCCAGUGGUCACACCGGCCUCGCCACAGCCGAAGCCGAUUGUAGACCCCAGCGCCCCUCUUCCACACGCCGGCUCCGGCAGCCUUUCGCCGCACGGCGUCCACUCACUCGGCAGUCCUCGCCUGGACACGACACUGAACGCUGCCAUGGUGUCAGGUGACCUCACAAUUCCAUUGGACGCGAGCUCCACCCUCAGCAUGUCGGCUCGUGAGUCGACGACGCGCUUCGUGCACACUUCUGGCAGCUUCGCCGUGACGCCGCCCGCCAACCUCAAGCAGGCAACUCUAGAAGACAUCCCGCGCUUUUACUCGAAGAGGGAGUCUCGCGGGCUGCAGAUUGAGAUGGACGUGGAGGAGGCGCAGGAGCUGAGCCGCCUGCUCGAAAAGAACGACCCAGUGAAGAAGACGGUCUGGGUGUUUGGCGACAUUAGCUCGAAGGUGUUCAAGGUGCCCAUUUGGUACAAGGAGGCGCUCUUCAAGGACAUCGCUACUCGCAGCGGACUGGACGCGGCCAUCGCCGACACGCUAACAGCCGCCCAAAUCCGUACCGUGUACAACGACGUCUACGCUCCCUUGUCGGUCAGCCGCCGCCUUUACGAGCUCAUCUGCACACACCCCAAGAAGGAAUUUAUUACGCUGUCCGACUUGGAGGGGAUGGGCAAGUACCUCGUUGCUGCUCACCCGGGCCUCCAGUUCCUCCAGCAGCCGGAGUUUCAGGAGUACUACUGGCACACCGUCGCGGUGCGCAUAAUGUACAUGCUAGAACGUCAGCAGUGUGGCCGCAUCUACUGGCGCGACUUUGACCGCAGCGAUCUGCCGGAGAGGAUGAUGGAGCUGGACGCCAAGGAUGUGAACCUGGUGCUCGACUACUUCUCCUACGAGCACUUCUACGUUCUGUACUGCAAGUUCUGGGAGCUCGACACCGACCGUGACCUCCUUGUCGGCUUCGAGGAUCUGUGCAACUACGGCCAAGGCUCGGUCGUGACGGGAGUCAUCAAGCGUGUGGUGGAGGGCUACGGCCGUCCACUGUCGUCCGGCGUGCCUGGCAAGAUGGACUUUGAGGACUUUGUGUAUUUCUGCCUCUCCGAGGAGGACAAGAACUCGGAGCCGGCGGUGCUCUACUGGUUCAAGGUGCUCGACACGGACGAAGACGGCGUGCUGAGCGGGUAUGAGAUGAUGCAGUUUUUCGAGGAGAACCAGCAGCGCUUCCUCGAGUUCUCUGACUCGCCAGAGGGGGACAUAGCGUACGAGGAUACAGUGUGCCAAAUGUUGGACAUGGUCGGGUUCGAUCGCGUGAAGGUGCGCAAGUACGGCGUCACCCUUGGCGACCUCCGCUCCUGCCCCACCCCCGCAAACUUCUUCAACAUGAUCUUCAACGCGUCGAAGUUCUUGCUGUUUGAGCACCGCGAUCCGUUUGGUGAACACCAGAUGCGGCUGCGCGUAGAGAAAACCGAGUGGGACCGCUUUGCGCGAGCCGAGUACGAUCGCAUGGCAGCUGAAGCACAGUAGGAGCGACGCGCUAUCCCAGACCGGAGCCCGCGAAUAUCAUCGUGCCGAACAGGGACGGACCAUGGUGGAUGGAGAGCGCUGGCCAAUGGUGAAACCCGACAAAAUGCUCGCCUCUCAUCUUGCUGACAUGCUCUUUUGACUGCUCCUUCAGUCUCGCUGCGCCGCUUGCGACCCCUCUCACCUCCUCCAAAUGGUGUCUCUCUCUUCAUCCCUUCCACACAAGUGCAUCUUUUUGUUCCCUCUCACGCCCUCCCCUCCCAG